rnacentral:rRNA from 1 species
GACGAACGCUGGCGGCGCGCCUAACACAUGCAAGUCGAACGGAGUCACGAGGAGCUUGCUUUUCUUGACUUAGUGGCGAACGGGUGAGUAACGCGUGAGUAACCUGCCCUGGAGUGGGGGACAACAGCUGGAAACGACUGCUAAUACCGCAUAAGCCCACGGAUCUGCAUGGAUCUGCGGGAAAAGGAUUUAUUCGCUCUAGGAUGGACUCGCGUCCAAUUAGCUAGUUGGUGAGGUAACGGCCCACCAAGGCGACGAUUGGUAGCCGGACUGAGAGGUUGAGCGGCCACAUUGGGACUGAGACACGGCCCAGACUCCUACGGGAGGCAGCAGUGGGGGAUAUUGCACAAUGGGGGAAACCCUGGUGCAGCGACGCCGCGUGGAGGAAGAAGGUUUUCGGAUUGUAAACUCCGGUCAUUAGGGACGAUAAUGACGGUACCUAACAAGAAAGCACCAGCUAACUACGUG